CACAGGUUUACCUGUGUGACUGCGUACCUUUUGUAUAAUGGGUCAGCGACUUAUAUUCUGUAGCAAGGUUAACCGAAUAGGGGAGCCGGAGGGAAACCGAGUCUUAAUUGGGCGUUAAGUUGCAGGGUAUAGACCCGAAACCCGGUGAUCUAGCCAUGGGCAGGUUGAAGGUUGGGUAACACUAACUGGAGGACCGAACCGACUAAUGUUGAAAAAUUAGCGGAUGACCUGUGGCUGGGGGUGAAAGGCCAAUCAAACCGGGAGAUAGCUGGUUCUCCCCGAAAGCUAUUUAGGUAGCGCCUCGUGAAUUCAUCUCCGGGGGUAGAGCACUGUUUCGGCUAGGGGGCCAUCCCGGCUUACCAACCCGAUGCAAACUGCGAAUACCGGAGAAUGUUAUCACGGGAGACACACGGCGGGUGCUAACGUCCGUCGUGAAGAGGGAAACAACCCAGACCGCCAGCUAAGGUCCCAAAGUCAUGGUUAAGUGGGAAACGAUGUGGGAAGGCCCAGACAGCCAGGAUGUUGGCUUAGAAGCAGCCAUCAUUUAAAGAAAGCGUAAUAGCUCACUGGUCGAGUCGGCCUGCGCGGAAGAUGUAACGGGGCUAAACCAUGCACCGAAGCUGCGGCAGCGACGCUGAUGCGUUGUUGGGUAGGGGAGCGUUCUGUAAGCCUGCGAAGGUGGCCUGUGAGGGUUGCUGGAGGUAUCAGAAGUGCGAAUGCUGACAUAAGUAACGAUAAAGCGGGUGAAAAGCCCGCUCGCCGGAAGACCAAGGGUUCCUGUCCAACGUUAAUCGGGGCAGGGUGAGUCGACCCCUAAGGCGAGGCCGAAAGGCGUAGUCGAUGGGAAACGGGUUAAUAUUCCCGUACUUGGUGUUACUGCGAAGGGGGGACGGAGAAGGCUAUGUUGGCCGGGCGACGGUU
rnacentral:rRNA from 1 species